UGUAGGAGUGAGCCUGCUCGCGAUGGCGCCGUAUCAGCCAACGAUCCAGUGACUGAAAGAAUGCAAUCGCGAGCAGGCUCGCUCCUACA
rnacentral:misc_RNA from 1 species